AUUGAACGCUGGCGGCAUGCCUUACACAUGCAAGUCGAACGGUAACAGGUUAAGCUGACGAGUGGCGAAUGGGUGAGUAAUGUAUCGGAACGUGCCCAGUCGUGGGGGAUAACUGCUCGAAAGAGCAGCUAAUACCGCAUACGACCUGAGGGUGAAAGCGGGGGAUCGCAAGACCUCGCGCGAUUGGAGCGGCCGAUAUCAGAUUAGGUAGUUGGUGAGGUAAAGGCUCACCAAGCCGACGAUCUGUAGCUGGUCUGAGAGGACGACCAGCCACACUGGGACUGAGACACGGCCCAGACUCCUACGGGAGGCAGCAGUGGGGAAUUUUGGACAAUGGGCGCAAGCCUGAUCCAGCCAUGCCGCGUGCGGGAAGAAGGCCUUCGGGUUGUAAACCGCUUUUGUCAGGGAAGAAAAGGUUCUGGCUAAUACCUGGGACUCAUGACGGUACCUGAAGAAUAAGCACCGGCUAACUACGUG
rnacentral:rRNA from 1 species